UUGGCCGUUGCACUCGGCCUCCCGGGGGCCGCGGUGUGAGGGCGCGCCCGGCACUAAACUGCCGCCCCCUCCCCCCCCUCCCCUUAUGAUUUCCAAGUCGUUCUCGUCUCGUCUCGUGUGCAGGGCCGCCCCCGCGAGCAAAGCCCGCCGGGCAGUGGCCCCCAGAUGCCCAGGGGAAGAUGCUGUGCGGUAGACUGGACGGCGCUCUCCAAGAGGGCGCGUGGGAAGUGGCGCCCCGAACAAGACAGACGGUCGGUCCGUCGAGUGCCGUUGCCGCCAGCACCCAGGAGCAGGGCCUCGCAGCGUGGAUACGAGAGACUGAAAUACGUUACAGCACGGGGGGCUGGUGCCUCCCGAGUCGGGGGUCUCCAGCCAGCGGAGAAACCAGAAAUGCAUUUCUGCCGGCACUUCCAGUUUCGCGGCGAGCGUUUCCAGGGGAGCCCGGCCAGUCUCGGGGGUGCGUGCACACCUGCGCAUCGCCGGCGAGUUAGGACACCUUGCACGCACCUUAUUUUUGUCUGCAAGGAGAGGGCCAUGAGGGUUGAGAUACCCUCGAAACUUUUCGUUCUCUAUUUCUAUUUUUAAUCCUGAUUAUUGUAAGCACAGAUUUCUUUGUAAGCCACAAAUAGUUAUUAUUUGCAUUGUGGUAAUAGUGAGGAGCCUCAGUCAGAACAGCAGGACAGUGUCUGCGCUGAGGAGUUUACCCUCUGAAUAAAAGUAUCCGAUGCUUUUCAAAAUCGUCCUUGCAGCUCUCCGGGCCUCUCCCUUUUUCUACCAGUUGAAAUGUGUUGCCUUUCACGAUCUUCGAAUGCCCUCCGGUUUUUGUGUUCUGAGGAUGAGUAAACAAGAGCACCUGGCUUAUGUGUCCACCCCAUUUUUUAUUUCAUAUGCUCAUCUCAUGCACCUUCUCAUUUGUCUCCUCUUUGAAGUAAACGCUCCCCGUUAUUUUCAUUCAUUCUUCAUAACCUCUCCCUUUGAAGAUCACACCGGGAGGAAAGUCUCCCAGCAGAGCCUUCCUCUGCACCGUGGGGAUCGCCACAGUAGGGGAGAGCUAGCUCACAAUUAGGGAAACCGGGAGCACUGAAGUCAGAGCUUCAGAAAUGUUUUUGCAAGUAUUCAAACGUUAUUAUUGGGACAAAUGGGGAGACCGGCACUGUUUACAGUAUCAAAUAACUUUCAAAUUAAGUAAUAUUGAGAGUGGAAACAAUGACAAGAUGUUGACUAUACCCCACUGUAAAUAUUUAAACAGCUACAUUAGGAAAAUUCCAAAAUAACAGGCUAGUAUGUUUUUAAAGAUAUAAAAGCAGCCCAAAGAAAACAGCCAGCCCUGGCACUGAGAGACCCUGCCUUUCAAAGGUUGUGCCCAGGGCACAGUUAUAGUAGCCAGGCUGUGCUUAUUAGG